CUUGUUGCAAUCUAUUCAGCGUUUUGUCAAGAUUUAAUAGAACAUUUGCUGCUUUUCUAAGGAGCUGGUGUCUGUUGCUUACAAACAGGAAUGCUAACUGCUUUACAAGUAGAACAAGAGAAGACAUAUUUACCUGAUUCUUCCAACCUUGAACCUGGUCGCUCAAAUUAUGAAUCACAGACUCUGCUUCCUGAGCUUGCUG